rnacentral:lncRNA from 1 species
GACUCUGGUUAAGACAAUAGCUCCUUGAGCAGUCAGGGUGCAGGUGCACACACAGGCUCUGUGCCGGGAUCCCCCACUUAUUUUUCCCUGAGGGUUCGUUCAAGGGUAUGCGUGGCCUCCAGUUGGAGACGCCUACUGAGUUUCAUUUUUUCUUUGUCUGAGGCCCUGCCUUUCUGCGACAGAAAACAAAGGGACCCCAAACCCCUUACGUACAGGCCCUAAGAAGUGGGUCCCUACUCUUCCUGAUGGGAUCCUUGCUUGGUGCCUCAGCUCCUGAUCGCCUGGUGUGACCGCCACAACUCUGCGUGCCUGGUUCUCAGCUACUGCUGUUGUUCCCUUUUACAGAUGUGGACUGGUCACCGUGGGCCCAGGGCCGCACAGUUUGUGCGUGUUGGAACCAUAUCCUGACCUAAGUCAAUUGCCCAGACUGUCCCUCCUGGAGGAAAGCACAAAGGGACAGCAUGCCGCGCAAACAUCUGUACGGAACCAUCAGAACCAUCCCUGGCUGUAAAAUGCAGUGGGGCCGUGCCAGGGCGUCCCAAGGGAAGGUCAGUCUGUCGACACACAUCUAUUAGAACCUUAACUAAAUUCUAAGCUCCCUAAGAACAGGGACUAGUUCUGAUAUGUAUUUGUCAU